rnacentral:tRNA from 1 species
GCACCUAUAGCUCAACUGGAUAGAGCGCUUGGCUUCGAACCAAGAGGUUGAGGGUUCGAGUCCUUCUAGGUGCG